rnacentral:rRNA from 1 species
AGAGUUUGAUCAUGGCUCAGAACGAACGCUGGCGGCAGGCUUAACACAUGCAAGUCGAACGCCCCGCAAGGGGAGUGGCAGACGGGUGAGUAACGCGUGGGAACGUACCCUUUACUACGGAAUAACUCAGGGAAACUUGUGCUAAUACCGUAUGUGCCCUUCGGGGGAAAGAUUUAUCGGUAAAGGAUCGGCCCGCGUUGGAUUAGCUAGUUGGUGGGGUAAAGGCCUACCAAGGCGACGAUCCAUAGCUGGUCUGAGAGGAUGAUCAGCCACAUUGGGACUGAGACACGGCCCAAACUCCUACGGGAGGCAGCAGUGGGGAAUAUUGGACAAUGGGCGCAAGCCUGAUCCAGCCAUGCCGCGUGAGUGAUGAAGGCCCUAGGGUUGUAAAGCUCUUUCACCGGUGAAGAUAAUGACGGUAACCGGAGAAGAAGCCCCGGCUAACUUCGUGCCAGCAGCCGCGGUAAUACGAAGGGGGCUAGCGUUGUUCGGAAUUACUGGGCGUAAAGCGCACGUAGGCGGGUAUUUAAGUCAGGGGUGAAAUCCCAGAGCUCAACUCUGGAACUGCCUUUGAUACUGGGUACCUAGAGUAUGGAAGAGGUAAGUGGAAUUCC